GUCGCCAUACCCAAGUGGUCAACGGGGCACGGUUGAGGGCCGUGUGUGCAGACUAUCGCAGGUUCGAAUCCUGCUGGCGACA
rnacentral:tRNA from 6 species